UACGGGGGGAGCAAGCGUUGUUCGGAUUUACUGGGCGUAAAGGGCGCGUAGGCGGCGUGACAAGUCACUUGUGAAAUCUCCGGGCUUAACUCGGAACGGUCAAGUGAUACUGUCGUGCUAGAGUACAGAAGGGGCAACUGGAAUUCUCGGUGUAGCGGUGAAAUGCGUAGAUAUCGAGAGGAACACCUGCGGCGAAGGCGGGUAGCUGGGCCGACACUGACGCUGAGGCGCGAAAGCCAGGGGAGCGAACGGG
rnacentral:rRNA from 1 species